rnacentral:rRNA from 1 species
GUGGGGAAUUUUGGACAAUGGACGCAAGCCUGAUCCAGCAAUGCCGCGUGCAGGAAGAAGGCCUUCGGGUUGUAAACUGCUUUUGUACGGAACGAAACGGUCCUGGCUAAUACCUGGGGCUAAUGACGGUACCGUAAGAAUAAGCACCGGCUAACUACGUGCCAGCAGCCGCGGUAAUACGUAGGGUGCGAGCGUUAAUCGGAAUUACUGGGCGUAAAGCGUGCGCAGGCGGUGCUGUAAGACAGGCGUGAAAUCCCCGGGCUCAACCUGGGAAUUGCGCUUGUGACUGCAGUGCUGGAGUGCGGCAGAGGGGGAUGGAAUUCCGCGUGUAGCAGUGAAAUGCGUAGAUAUGCGGAGGAACACCGAUGGCGAAGGCAAUCCCCUGGGCCUGCACUGACGCUCAUGCACGAAAGCGUGGGGAGCAAACAGGAUUAGAAACCCCUGUAGUCC